rnacentral:lncRNA from 1 species
AAGAAUCCGUCUGGUACGGUGAAAAUCGGCCUGAGUACCGAAACAGAAAGUUGACCUGGAUACCAAAAUAAAUGGUAACACAGGAAUACCCAUGGCCUGAAUGCCGCACAUUAGUCUGAACACUAAGCAUCGGAAAAUGAGAGUAUCAAUGUUGGUCUGAUCACCGGAAAUCUGGUCUGAACACCCCUUCGAUCUGGAAAUCGGAAAACUGGCCUGAAUGCCACAAGUUGCAUCGACCUGAAUGUCGG